rnacentral:rRNA from 1 species
GCUUGUCUCAAAGAUUAAGCCAUGCAUGUCUUAGUGUAAAUAACUCUUAUGAAACUGCGAAUGGCUCAUUAAAUCAGUUAUCAAAUACGUGAUGGUCGCCUACUACAUGGAUAACCGUAGUAAUUCUAGAGCUAAUACAUGCACAAAGGCCCACUCACGUGGGUUGUGAUUAUUAGAUUCAAACCGGCCUCGUUCUGGUGAUUCAUAAUAAUUGGUCGAACCGCAUGCCCUUGUGGUGGCGGUGAUUCAUCCUUAUUUCUGCCCUAUCAACUUUCGAUGGUAGUCGCCGUGCCUACCAUGGUGACCACGGGUGACGGGGAAUCAGGGUUCGAUUCCGGAGAGGGAGCCUGAGAAACGGCUACCACAUCCAAGGAAGGCAGCAGG